ACAGUCUUUUAUAAUUUCGCUUUAUUGUAGCACCGAUGAAACAUAUUUUUGAUGUAAACAUCGUUUGUAUUACUUUUUAUGAUCGGCCCUCGUUUUUGUCUCGGCUUUGCGCGGAAGUCGUGUUUAGCUACACGUUGUCAACUGCGAAGGUCGUAGUCUGCUGAGCAGAUUGAAGAGAUCCUUCAGCAGCGCAAGAGGAAAGGGCAGUUGGAGUACUUAGUGCGCUGGGUGGGUUUGGAUGAAUCCAACAACUCAUGGGAGCCUGCAACCACUAUAGCUAAGCUGCCUAAGCUGCUCAAAGUUUUUCGAGUCCAAGAAAAAGAAAGACGAUCUCGUUCACGAUCAAGGGGAAGGCGCAGGUCACCCUCAAGAUCUCGUUCUCGGUCAGGUUCACGUAGUAGAACUGACACAAAGAAGGUAUCCAAAUCUGUACAAAAGACUUCUGUUAAAUCUACUGUCAAAAAAGAAGAAAAACAGAAUUCACAACAACAGUCUCGAUCACGUCCUCGAAAAGAAGCCGAGCUGUCUGAAAUAAACAAAACUGAAAUAAUUUCACAGACUUACACUUCCAAAAAGAGAAGCACAGCAGAAAAGCAGGGAGGCAGUGGAAAUUCUGCUGAGAAAAUCCAGUCAUCACCCGAGAAAGAAAUGUUACGAUCUCGGCUUGCAGUGCAGCAAGUACAAAAUGACCAGAAGCCCAAUAGUAAACCUGCAGAAGAGGCAAAAGACCCUUGGUUCUGGUGGUUUGCAGACUAUGCAGUUCUUGGUGUUUUCAUCAUUAUUUCCCUUCUUGCUCUCUCAUUCUGUUUGGACAGCUUCACUGGCAGUCAAAAGCAGAUGAUUCCUAAUUUUUCUGUGCUCAAUCAGCGCCUUGUCGAGACCUAUGAGCAUAUGAGUGGGUCUCUUACCAAUAGUUUUUAUUCACUGAUGGAAGUCCUGUCCUCGUGGAGCGGACAAGCUGGAGAGAAACCUGCGGCAAACCCUAACCCAUAAAUCACACCUCAUUGCAAGUGUUUAUUUUGCUAAGCACAUUUUGUGAGCAGUGGGAUCUUCAAAUGGAAAAAGUAGAUUGUAAAGAUGAGAGAUUUAGUCUCAUUAGCUAGGUUGUAGUCUUGAAAGAGAUGCUUUUGUCAAGUCAGAGACUGUACAAAUUUGUUCAGCAGCAUACAUGCUCAUGUAAUAAAGUCUAAUUUGGACAGAUCUAUAAUAUGAUGAUACAUCUUGAUUUGUAAUUUUUGUUGAGUUAGUGAAAGGCAUUUAUGGAGAACACCAUUAGUGUUUGAAUAGUAGCUAAUAGAUGAGCACUGUACAAUUUUAACAAAGAUGCAAAAGAUAUUUUAUAGUCAAGGAAACUGAUGACUGUCAUUGUACAUUCCUCAGCAGGGAUUAGGAAAUUAAAGUUAAUACUUUGUUUGGCUUUAUGAUUAGAGGCAAGUCCCUAACAAUAAAGUUAGAAAGUACUAAACUUUCAUAUAGUCAAACUCACUCAAGGCAGCUUUUUGGACUGGCCAUGGUUAUGGAGUUUUGUCCAUUUAUGGCUCUUAAAAGGGGAUAGGUUUGGUGGUACUGUUUGCCAUUUUUAACCAUUGAUUGGCAAGGCUUUAGUGAUCAUUAAAUAUCCUGCUGCCUAUAAGUUAAAACUCAUAAUCUGAAAAUUAUCUGGCCACAGUCUGCUGGGUGUGAGGCAAGGGAAAAUAUGCAUAGAGAGCAGGUAUGGUCCGUAACUAGUGGUAACUUUUGGAUCUCUGCUCAAGAGCCAGGAUUAGUAAGAUAAUAUAACUAUUUCUGUCAGAUUUUCAUUUUAAAAAGAAGUGGUUAAAAAUUAAAGUAUUGUAAAUGUUUUAAUGUUUGGGGUUUUAGUUUUUAAACUUUAGCUUUUUCUUUUCAUAUCUCCAAGCAGCCAAAGUGGUCGAUCAUGGAAGCCUAUUCUGUUUUCAGUUACUGAUAUAAGCUUAUGCAAGUUAAAAUUCUUCCUUUGUAUGAGACGAUUCUAUUUAUUUGUAAAGUAAACUAAAACUGCAAAAGCUGAUCCUGUCUGUUUUUGAUCAAUAUAGGUAAUCUUGAAUCCGAUAAUAUUGACCAUGAAAAUAAUAUCUAAAGUUUUUAGGGAAAAGGGCAUACAAGAUAAUUGUAGAACCUUGUGCUGAAUUCUGCAGGCAUUCCGGUGGCACAAUGGUGAGCACCUGUUGCUAAUACAGUGAGGGUUAGCUCACUUGGGUUUAGUUCUCAUCUUGGGCUCACUAUUCUUUCUUUUCAUGUUGCUUCUGUUUACAUGACUGACUGCCUUGUCAUGAUUAUCAUUAGUUUCUGGCUCAGCUUAAAACGCCAAUUAUCCCCUUAUGCUGAACUCUGCAAUAUCUGGGUAUUUCUCUAUAAACCAUACAGUCAUAAUUGUUAUUUUUAAUUGUUAUAUACAUAAUUGUUAAUCUGGUAAUAUGCUGAUGGCAGAUAUUUAAAAUAAUGAAAUAAAAAUCAAUCAGUUGUAUCUUACACAGUAUUGCACAAUGGUUCUCACCAGCAGAGUUGUCUUUGUACCUGUCCUGUAGACCUGCAAGGUGACGUAGAAUAGUAGACCAAAAUUUAGUGAUGUCCAUGGGCAGUUGCUUUUAGUCAAACUUCUAGUCGUUCGUUUUAACAAUCACUCUAAGUACAACAUCAGCUUCAAAACGGUUAGAUAAUUUGUGAAAAGAUUCAUGUGAAGCAGUUGUACAUCACCUUUAAAAAUCCAGUUCUUUUGUUUGACAGCAUAUAUUUGACUUCUGCUUUGUAAAGUCAUAGUUGCAAAUCUGUCUUCUAGCCAUCACUGUCUAUAGCAAAGUUUUCUCUCUGGUAAGGACAGUGGCAACCUUGGCAGUGCAAAGUAAAAGACCAGUAUAGUGUUCAUCAGUUUGAAAUCUGGUGUAUGGUUGACAGGUUUUCAAGACUUACAUGGCAGUAAAAUGUAGGUGUAAUUUAUUGAGUGACUAAAAUAUGCCAGUUAUUAAAGUCUUCAGUAAAUGAAGCUCCUAAUUCUGAGCUAAAAUACCAAAUAGUAUUUAAAUAUAAAGCACAUCUGAUUUUGUUCUUGCUGAUCAACAUUAUAUAAUCUAGCUUAGUAUCUAAUAUUAAUGUGUAUUAUUUCUGGCACUGUGCAUUAUAAUAUUUACAAAGGAGGUAAGCGUUAGUUUGCACCAUGUAGGAUUUUUGUAUUGAGUUUCCAUGUUUUAUUCUUUAAUCUGCAAAUUGCACUGACAUUUUCAUAUGUGAAUUUGAAAAGUUAUUGUGGGAUUUGUUUGUGUGGUUGUACACCAUUUGUUAUACAAUAAAACACUUGAAAUGAUUGUUUUAAUUGUUCACCAAAAAGACAUCCGAAAUAACUGCUUUUGUGCCAUUUUCUUUGUCAGUGUUGAACUUCUAUUUUCAGUCAUCAAUGCUGCUCAAUUGUAUAUUUUGUUUAUAGAUGUGCUCUGUUUAAACAGCACUUAUUCAAAAGCGUUCAUUUUAAUUUUUUUAAGUGUGUUCCACAGUCUUUUUACAUAAAAUUGUAAUAAGACAUUUGAAAAUCAAACAUGAAUGUGGGGAAAAUGUCUUACUUAUGUAUUCUAGCAUGAUUUGUUCAUAAAUAUUUUAAACCAUGGUGCAGUUCAAGAAUCUUCAUGAAAAUAAAUUUUCAUCCUCACA
rnacentral:misc_RNA from 1 species